CCUACGGGAGGCAGCAGUAAGGAAUAUUGGGCAAUGGACGCAAGUCUGACCCAGCCAUGCCGCGUGGAGGAUGAAGGUCCUCUGGAUUGUAAACUUCUUUUAUUUGGGAAGAAACUCCCGAUUUCCAUCGGGAUUGACGGUACCAGAUGAAUAAGCACCGGCUAACUCCGUGCCAGCAGCCGCGGUAAUA
rnacentral:rRNA from 1 species